CCUCCCUAUCUCCUCCCUCCCUUUCUCCUCUCUCCCUUCCUCUAUCUCCCUCCUUCUCCUCCCUUUCUCAACUCUCCCACCCUCUCUCUCUUCUCCCAGCUCCUUCUCUUCUCUCCCCUCCCUCUCUCCUUUCUCCCCUCACUCUCUCCUCUCUCCCUCCCUCUCUGCUCUCUCCCUCCCUCUCUGCUCUAGUUGACUUCAGUGGUGGCUCAGUGGGCAGUAAAGGAGUGAGGGAGGGCUCUCAGACCUCUACAGACACAGGUGAGAAUCUAAAGGUUAGCGGUUAGAGAAGGCAGUGUUGACCACCUUUGGGUUAGACACUACAGAUUAUAGUUUCUGUCUGUCUUCCCCAGGUCCGGCCUUCGAGGCAUGCCUACUACCCCGCUCCUCUCUGGUGCCCCCCUCAGCCCUCCUCCCCAGGAAGGGCAGUGUGAAGGCAGCCACCAUGGGGCGCACCUUGCCCCUCUCCAAAGGCCCUGCCAACUCUCCCUUGCACCUGCCCAAAGAAUGCAACCGCUCUCUUGGGGACCUCAAGGUGACGAGGGGGUUGGUGGCUCGCUUCCUGCAGCGCUCCAAACGGAACCUGGCGUCCGCCGCAGAGCAUUCUGGGAACACGGGACAGGGUCAGAAAAGGAGAGGCGGGGUGGAGGGCAACGGGACAGGCCAUCUCCCUUUAGAGCAGGUGUUACGUAACUCCUGGGGGGCCAGCCAGGGAACCCACCCGCCAUACCCUCAUCACCGUGGUCACCACCACUCCCAUAGCGACAGCCGCCACAACCGCCGUCAUAGCAACCAACCCCCUGUGACGGAGGGGAUCCACUUGCGCAGCUGCGGCGACUUAAGCUCCUCCUCCUCUGCGUCGCUAUGGCGAUUACUGACGGCCAACCCCCCUCACGGGUCAUCAGGGACACUGUACACAGAGUCAGCCCUGUAAGAGGGGGAGGAGGGAGGAAAGAUGGGAGGGGAGGGGGAGGAAAAGGAGAGGAGGCAGAAAGUGUACCCACACAGAGGAGAGUGGAGGCAUGGUAUGGUCUAAUGAAGAAGAGAUACAAAGGGAGGAGGAGAGGUGGAGGAUGGUAGGAUGAGUUAGACAGGGGAGAGGAAGGAUGAAGGAACAGGCUACUGACAUAUCCUGAUGGGCGAUGGAGGGAGUCAGCAUUAUGAGGAGGGAACGACUGGACCUUUGCUACAGCCUUGUUCCAAUACUUUGAACAUGCAUCCUACCUCUUUCCCUUCCUCCUUCCCCUUGGAGCCCUCCUCUGCACCUGCGCCUGGCCUUCCUUUCCUGAACUUUGACCUCUCAACUAACCUCCUACCUUCAACCUCCACCUAGCCAUACUGAAAACAACUCUAUCUGUCCUCUCCAACUCUCUGGGAUCUCUCUCUAACUUCAAGAGUAGAGAGGAUGGAGAGAAGGAGUAGGAUAAUGAAGUUUCCCCUAGACUCUGAGCUAUGGUCAGUUUAGUGUUUCUCCUCUUAAUGGUUAAGGUUAGGAUCAGUGGAGCAUAAGCUGAUCCUAGAUCUGUGUCUAAGGUAAACACUUUUCUGGAGCUGUGAACAUCACUCUUACACGAACCGCAUACACUCAUUAAACUGCUCACUCUUUUUCAAAACUCAAAUGUACGUUCAUUUGUCCAGCUCUUCAUCCGGAGCGAAACUC
rnacentral:lncRNA from 13 species